rnacentral:rRNA from 1 species
UACGUAGGGGGCAAGCGUUGUCCGGAAUCAUUGGGCGUAAAGAGCGUGUAGGCGGCUCGAUAAGUCUGCUGUGAAAGUCCAGGGCUCAACCCUGGAAGGCCGGUGGAAACUGUCGGGCUAGAGUCCGGAAGAGGCGAGUGGAAUUCCCGGUGUAGCGGUGAAAUGCGCAGAUAUCAGGAGGAACACCGGUGGCGAAGGCGGGAUCCUGGGCCAGUACUGACGCUGAGGAGCGAAAGCGUGGGGAGCAAACAGG